UAAAAACCAGUACUGGUUGUCCGACAGUAACUCCCAUUACAUUUGAUGAUGUUGACGCGGCGGAAGCAGGUCCAUCAAAAGAAGUCUGGAGCAGCAGAAGUUGGACUUCAGUAACACAACAGGCAAAAAAAAAAUGGGGCAGCAAAGAAAGCAAGGUCUGAUGUCCAGGGCCAACCACAGCAGGCUACCCCGCCACGAAGAUUAUCGACAGUAUGUUCGGGCCCCACACUCCAAAUUUUGGACACACUUCCAAGACGUGAACCACACUCCCCUCAGCUUGAUUUCCUGGUAACAGCAUCCCUCCGCAACAUCAGCAAACAAGCAGCAGUUUUGGUACGACUACUCCAAAUAUCACGCCAAUGUCAUCACCAC